AUCGCUUCUUGGCCUUUUGGCUAAGAUCAAGUGUAGUGUCUGUUCUUAUCAGUUUAAAAAUUAAUGAUUUGUUUAAAACAAAAUAUUUAUGUCCACUAUUAAUAGCCAUAGUAUUGAGGAUAUUGAAGACUAUUCCAGCAAUGUGACAUUU
rnacentral:snRNA from 1 species